rnacentral:rRNA from 1 species
UAAUGUCUGGGAAACUGCCUGAUGGAGGGGGGUAACUGCUGGAAACGGUAGCUAAUACCGCAUAACGUCGCAAGACCAAAGUGGGGGACCUUCGGGCCUCAUGCCAUCAGAUGUGCCCAGAUGGGAUUAGCUAGUAGGUGGGGUAACGGCUCACCUAGGCGACGAUCCCUAGCUGGUCUGAGAGGAUGGCCAGCCACACUGGAACUGAGACACGGUCCAG